UUGAGGCAGGAACGGGCGAGUCGCCUCCACAGCGCAUCCCGGCAGGUGAAGCGGCAAAGGCGGCGGCAGGUCUGGCCCAGGCGGCCCAAGGCCCGCGCGUCCAGAGUCAGUGGAGCUAAAUAUUGGCAAAGCUACUUUCUUCAUACUGUUUCCUUGAAAUGGCUCUAUUACAUGCUACACCAUUUCUAGCUGAAAAACAAAACAUUCUUCAUCUGUCAGAUGAUCAUCAAAGAUGCACAAGAUGUUCAGAAUGUGAGAAGAAAAGGUUGGGAUACAGUCUUUGUUACAGUUUUUGAAUGGAAUAAAAUAGCUGAUGCUAAACCAUAUGCUGCAACGUUUCCAGUAGUAUAUGGCAAUGUCUGUAUUAAAUAUCAUUUUGGACCUGAUGAUGAUUGUAGACUUCAAUGCAAUACAACUUGCAGACAAUGUUUCUUCAAUAAAGCAGAGUUGAAAACAAACUUAA